AUUAGAUACCCCUGUAGUCCCAGCCGUAAACAAUGUGCGUUAGGUGUGUCGGUAACCACGUGUUACUGAUGCGCCGAAGAGAAAUCGUGAAACGCACCACCUGGGAAGUACGGUCGCAAGGCUGAAACUUAAAGGAAUUGGCGGGGGAGCACCACAACAGGUGGAGCCUGCGGUUUAAUUGGAUUCAACGCCGGACAUCUCACCGGAUAAGACAGCUGAAUGAUUGUCAAUCUGAAGGUUUUACAUGACUAGCUGAGAGGUGGUGCAUGGC
rnacentral:rRNA from 1 species